rnacentral:rRNA from 1 species
AUUGAACGCUGGCGGCAGGCCUAACACAUGCAAGUCGAGCGGGGUUUUCGGACCUAGCGGCGGACGGGUGAGUAAUGCGUAGGAAGCUACCCGAUAGAGGGGGAUACCAGUUGGAAACGACUGUUAAUACCGCAUAAUGUCUACGGACCAAAGUGUGGGACCUUCGGGCCACAUGCUAUCGGAUGCGCCUACGUGGGAUUAGCUAGUUGGUAGGGUAAUGGCUCACCAAGGCGACGAUCCCUAGCUGGUUUGAGAGGAUGAUCAGCCACACUGGAACUGAGACACGGUCCAGACUCCUACGGGAGGCAGCAGUGGGGAAUAUUGGACAAUGGGCGCAAGCCUGGUCCAGCCAUGCCGCGUGUGUGAAGAAGGCCUUCGGGUUGUAAAGCACUUUCAGUAGGGAGGAAGGGUUAAGUGUUAAUAGUACUUAACUUUGACGUUACCUACAGAAGAAGCACCGGCUAACUCUGUGCCAGCAGCCGCCGUAAAAC